rnacentral:rRNA from 1 species
ACGCUCGACACCUACGGGAGGCAGCAGUGGGGAAUAUUGCACAAUGGGGAAACCCUGAUGCAGCGACGCCGCGUGGAGGAAGAAGGUCUUCGGAUUGUAAACUCCUGUUGUUGGGGAAAAAGAGGAUGGUACCCAACAAGGAAGUGACGGCUAACUACGUGCCACAGCCGCGGUAAUCUGAGCGGGCUGGCAAGGC